UUUGAAAAUCUAAAAGUGGCACUUAGUGUUUAUUCUUGUUACAUGGUAUGCCUUUGUUUUUGGUCUAUUCUUAGGCCAAUGCCAUUUUUUAAAAAGAGUGUGUUUUUUUUUUUUUUUUUCACACUCUCUAAUCUUAGUCGUCUCAUCUUUUUAUCUUCUACUUAUCUGGCACACAUGCCUUUGAUGUUUCCUUCAAAUCACUGAAAAAAUCUCACACAGUUCUAUGACACAACCCAGGGAACUCCCUCCAGGUUGAAAUCAAUUCAUUAAUCAUCUCAGCACAGUGUAUUGUCUGCUAAGAACCCAACCUAACUGCACUCUAUUUUCCCAUCUUGUCCACAAGAAAAUGAAUAAGCAGCUCCCUGGGAUGUCUGGCUGACAGCGUCAUUUGCAAGAAACCACAGCCGAGGCUCUUGCCUGUAGUUUCUCUGCUCCCUCUGCCUCCUGAUGGUCCCUGGUUCAUCCCCAUGUGGCCCUCAUGGUGCUGUGCCCUCCUCCCCUUGGGAACUGGCUCUUUGGUGUCUCCCAGUCCUGAUGUAUCCAGUCUCACCCCGUAAGUUCAUUGGAAGGAAGAGUGAAGAGAGAACCAAGGGAGCAGAGACUCAAGAAAGAGAACAGAGCCUCAUACGUCACACUCCCAGGGAGUAUAAGGAGUGUGUGGCCAACUCCUCCAC
rnacentral:lncRNA from 10 species